rnacentral:rRNA from 1 species
UACAGAGGGGGCAAGCGUUAUUCGGAAUUAUUGGGCGUAAAGGGCGCGUAGGCGGCCUGGCAAGUGGAAGGUGAAAUCCCUCGGCUUAACCGAGGGAACUGCCCUCCAAACUGCUUGGCUUGAGUCCGGGAAGAGGUGAGUGGAAUUCCCAGUGGUAGCGGUGAAAUGACGGUAGAUAUUGGGAGGAACACCAGUGGCGAAGGCGGCUCACUGGACCGGAACUGACGCUGAGGCGCGAAAGCGUAGGGAGCAAACG